CUGCCCAUAAGACUGGGAUAACUCCGGGAAACCGGGGCUAAUACCGGAUAACAUUUUGAACCGCAUGGUUCGAAAUUGAAAGGCGGCUUCGGCUGUCACUUAUGGAUGGACCCGCGUCGCAUUAGCUAGUUCGUGAGGUAACGGCUCACCAAGGCAACGAUGCGUAGCCGACCUGAGAGGGUGAUCGGCCACACUGGGACUGAGACACGGCCCAGACUCCUACGGGAGGCAGCAGUAGGGAAUCUUCCGCAAUGGACGAAAGUCUGACGGAGCAACGCCGCGUGAGUGAUGAAGGCUUUCGGGUCGUAAAACUCUGUUGUUAGGGAAGAACAAGUGCUAGUUGAAUAAGCUGGCACCUUGACGGUACCUAACCAGAAAGCCACGGCUAACUACGUGCCAGCAGCCGCGGUAAUACGUAGGUGGCAAGCGUUAUCCGGAAUUAUUGGGCGUAAAGCGCGCGCAGGUGGUUUCUUAAGUCUGAUGUGAAAGCCCACGGCUCAACCGUGGAGGGUCAUUGGAAACUGGGAGACUUGAGUGCAGAAGAGGAAAGUGGAAUUCCAUGUGUAGCGGUGAAAUGCGUAGAGAUAUGGAGGAACACCAGUGGCGAAGGCGACUUUCUGGUCUGUAACUGACACUGAGGCGCGAAAGCGUGGGGAGCAAACAGGA
rnacentral:rRNA from 1 species